rnacentral:rRNA from 1 species
UUUCACUGAAACAAGGGGAAAGCUCAAAUGGGGAAUUGGCCCCGGAGGCAGCAGUAAAGAAUUUUGUGCAAUAUAUGAAGGUAAGACACAGAGAGGGCACCUUGCCUAGUCCGUCAAAUUAAGUGCCAGCAGACGCGGUGAAACUUAAGGGCUAGUUUUGUGGGCAAAAGCGUAAAGGGUGUGAUAGGCCGUUUUAAUUAAAAAGGGUUUUAUAAUUUAAGAAGGUAAAUGGAAUUUUUUUGUAGCGGUGGAAUGUGUAAAUAGAAAAAAGAACUUUAGACGUGAAGACUAUUUAUUUUUGAGAUUAUAGUGUGGUGGCUAAAACACGAGAGUAUGGGGAGCAAACAGGAUUAGGGACCCUGGUAGUCUAUACUGUAAAUAAUGAAAAAGAUGUGAAGCAAUCCUAAAAAGUCAGAAAUUUUCCGCUUGAGUAGUACGACCGCAAGGUUAAAAUUCAAAAAACUUGGCUGUUCACUGUUUUAAUUAGAGGAGCGUGUCGUUUAAUUCGAUAGUCCGCGAGAGACCUUACCCAAACUUGAAUCCCUCAUUGACAGGUAUUGCAUGGCCGUCGUCAAUUUGUGUAUUAAACAUAAAACAGAUUUAACCCAGUGGUUUGUCACUUGGAUGAAGUCAGGUCUUAUUGUCCUAAUGUUUGGGGAUUAGAUGCGCUACAUUUUUUUAUACAAUAGGAAACUUUGAGUGUGAAACCUGAAAAUAAGAGUUCGGAAAGUGCCUGGAAGAUAACGGAAAGUUGUAUUUAAUAGUAAUUGAAAAGUAGAGCGUUUCAAUGAAAUUUUUUCAGUGUUAGUACAAAUUGCCCGUCGCCUUUGCUUAGACAGGUUGGUUGAUUGCCCCUCAAGAGGGUUUCUAAUACCUCCGAGGCAGAGUAAGUCGUAACA